UACGUAGGUGGCAAGCGUUAUCCGGAUUUACUGGGCGUAAAGCGUGUGCAGGCGGGUGGACAAGUGGUGUAUGAAAUCGCCAGGCUAAACCUGGCGGGGUUAUGCCAGACUGUUUAUCUGGAGUGCGAGAGAGGGGCGUGGAAUUCCGGGUGUAGUGGUGAAAUGCGUAGAGAUCCGGAGGAACCCCAGAGGCGAAGGCGGCGCCCUGGCUCGCAACUGACGCUCAGACACGACAGCAUGGGGAGCGAACGGGAUGAUA
rnacentral:rRNA from 1 species